rnacentral:rRNA from 1 species
CCUACGGGUGGCAGCAGUGGGGAAUAUUGGACAAUGGGCGAAAGCCUGAUCCAGCCAUGCCGCGUGUGUGAAGAAGGCCUUCGGGUUGUAAAGCACUUUCAGUGGGGAAGAAAGCCUUGGGGCUAAUACCCUCGAGGAAGGACAUCACCCACAGAAGAAGCACCGGCUAACUCCGUGCCAGCAGCCGCGGUAAUACGGAGGGUGCGAGCGUUAACCGGAAUUACUGGGCGUAAAGCGCGCGUAGGCGGUCUGAUAAGCCGGUUGGGAAAGCCCCGGGCUCAACCUGGGAACGGCAUCCGGAACUGGGAGGCUAGAGUGCAGGAGAGGAAGGUAGAAUUCCCGGUGUAGCGGUGAAAUGCGUAGAGAUCGGGAGGAAUACCAGUGGCGAAGGCGACCUUCUGGACUGACACUGACGCUGAGGUGCGAAAGCGUGGGUAGCAAACAGGAUUAGAUACCCGGGUAGUC